GACGAACGCUGGCGGCGUGCCUAAUACAUGCAAGUCGAGCGGACUUACAAAGCUUGCUUUUUAAGUUAGCGGCGGACGGGUGAGUAACACGUGGGCAACCUGCCUGUAAGACUGGGAUAACUUCGGGAAACCGGAGCUAAUACCGGAUAAUCCUUUUCUACUCAUGUAGAAAAGCUGAAAGACGGUUUACGCUGUCACUUACAGAUGGGCCCGCGGCGCAUUAGCUAGUUGGUGAGGUAACGGCUCACCAAGGCGACGAUGCGUAGCCGACCUGAGAGGGUGAUCGGCCACACUGGGACUGGGACACGGCCCAGACUCCUACGGGAGGCAGCAGUAGGGAAUCUUCCGCAAUGGACGAAAGUCUGACGGAGCAACGCCGCGUGAGUGAUGAAGGUUUUCGGAUCGUAAAACUCUGUUGUUAGGGAAGAACAAGUACGAGAGUAACUGCUCGUACCUUGACGGUACCUAACCAGAAAGCCACGGCUAACUACGUG
rnacentral:rRNA from 1 species